CAAUAGCGUAUAUUAAAGUUGAUGCGGUAAAAAAGCUCGUAGUUGGAUUUCUACCGAAGAUAGCCGGUCGGGUCUUCGACCUUGUAUCUGGUUUUGUCUUUGGUAUCCUCAUAGGGAACGUUUCUGCGCUUUAUUGCGUGGUGCGGUAUCUAUGACUUUUACUUUGAGGAAAUUAGAGUGUUCACGGCAGGCAAACGCCUUGAAUAUAUUAGCAUGGAAUAAUAACAUAGGAUCUUCGUCCUAUUUUGUUGGUUUCUAGGGCUAAGAUAAUGAUUAAUAGGGAUAAUUGGGGGCAUCUGUAUCAACGCGUCAGAGGUGGAAUUCUUGGAUUGCGUUGCGACAAACUACUGCGAAAGCAUUUGCCAAGGAUGUUUUCAUUGA
rnacentral:rRNA from 1 species